UGGACCGCAACGUCAGGUAACAAACUGGGGUUUAAUGACAUUUUGUGUCAGACCAGCAGUCAGUGGCUGGCUCACAAACGUACAAGGCUGCGGAUCACUUCUGCUGCGCUCACGACAAGCAGGAGAGGAAGGCUGAAACCAUUUUGGGAGUAACAUGGCAGACGGACAAAGAGGGAUUUUCCUCAUUUCCACUACCAGACACUACAGUGCUCCUUAAAUAAAAACAAACCUUCACAAAGAAACAGCCACAGUGGAGG